rnacentral:hammerhead_ribozyme from 1 species
AUCCAGAUGAUGAGUCCCAAAUGGGAACAAACGCGCGUCCUGGAU